rnacentral:rRNA from 1 species
AUUGAACGCUGGCGGCAGGCCUAACACAUGCAAGUCGAACGGUAACAGGAAACAGCUUGCCGUUUCGCUGACGAGUGGCGGACGGGUGAGUAAUGUCUGGGGAACUGCCUGGUGGAGGGGGAUAACUACUGGAAACGGUAGCUACUACCGCAUAACGUCGCAAGACCAAAGAGGGGGACCUUCGGGCCUCUUGCCAUCGGCUGUGCCCAGAUGGGAUGGGCUAGUAGGUGGGGUAACGGCUCACCUAGGCGACGAUCCCUGGCUGGUCUGAGGGGAUGACCAGCCACACUGGAACUGAGACACGGGCCAGACUUCUACGGGAGGCAGCAGUGGGGAAUAUUGCACAAUGGGCGCAAGCCUGAUGCAGCCAUGCCGCGUGUAUGAAGAAGGCCUUCGGGUUGUAAAGUACUUUCAGCGGGGAGGAAGGGAGUAAAGUCAAUACCUUUGCUCAUUGACGUUACCCGCAGAAGAAGCACCGGCUAACUCCGUGCCAGCCGCCGCAGUAA